CUCGAGGUCGGCUCUUCAUUUGUUUAAAGUGAUUAGUGCUGGUUCGUGAUUGUCUUAAUAUCCUGUAGUGAUAUCAUGGGUACAAAGGUAAACUUAUGGAUGUGGUUAAAAACUGUCGAAACUAGUCGAGAUUCAUAAGAGGAUUCAGACCUUGUGGGAACCACACACUAAUCAAUUAGAUCCUCAUCCCAGGGACAUUUUAACACCUUAACGCCCCAAUAAAGGAUACAGUGGGAAACUAUUGAAUGCUGUUGCAAGAUAAGGGAAUUUAAAUGCAGUGUUGAACCUUUGAUCUUGUGGGAAGCCAUUCACUGCAUUGAAUAUUAUAUUGCAAGAGCAGCUUAUACAUAAUUGAAGGAUACCAUAAACAAUGAAAGAUAACUUUAGAACUCUGAGAAAGCACGCCAAGUCAACAGCUGUGGGAAGAUGAUACAUCAGUAAGCAGAAAGGCGAGGGUGGAGGAUGAUAUAGCAGUGCAGAAGGUCAACAGCUGAAAGAUGAGGAUGAUUUAAGCAGCAUAAGUCGACAGCUGAGGGAGGAAGAUGAUAUAUCAGCAGCACAGAAAGUAAACAAUGCAGCUUGAGCAACACAAGUCCGCAGAGAUGCUUCAUGUCGAUCCAGGGAAAACUAUAAAGAAGCUUUGCAAAAUUUCUUCCCGAAUAGAAACAGCAACAUAGUAGGUCUUUUCAUCUCCCGUGCACAAUUGACUGCAAA